CCAAAAUUGUCAGAGAUUCUGUGGAUAGAAGGACCCAGAGGGCUGGCUUGCUGGGCGGGCCAGGUAGGGAGACCACAGGCAAGGUCACAGGCAGAUCACAGACAAGGUCACAGGCAAGAUCACAGACAAGGUCACAGGCAAGAUCACAGACGAGGUCACAGGCAAGGUCACAGGCAGAUCACAGACAAGGUCACAGGCAAGGUCACAGACAAGGUCACAGGCAAGGUCACAGACAAGGUCACAGGCAGAUCACAGACAAGGUCACAGGCAGAUCACAGGCAGGGUCACAGGCAAGGUCACAGGCAAAGUCACAGGCAGAUCACAGGCAGGGUCACAGGCAAGGUCACAGGCAGAUCACAGGCAGAUCACAACCAGAUCACAGGCAGAUCACAGGCAGAUCACACACAAGGUCACAGGCAGAUCACAGGCAGAUCACACGCAGAUCACAGGCAGGGUCACAGGCAGAUCACAGGCAGAUCACAGACAAGGUCACAGGCAAGGUCACAGGCAGAUCACAGACAAGGUCACAGGCAGAUCACAGGCAGAUCACACGCAGAUCACAGGCAGGGUCACAGGCAGAUCACAGGCAGAUCACAGACAAGGUCACAGGCAAGGUCACAGGCAGAUCACAGACAAGGUCACAGGCAGAUGACAGGCAGAUGACAGGCAGAUGACAGGCAAGGUCACAGGCAGAUCACAGGCAGGGUCACAGGCAAGGUCACAGGCAAGGUCACAGGCAGAUCACAGACAAGGUCACAGGCAGAUCACAGACAAGGUCACAGGCAGAUCACAGGCAGAUCACAGACAAGGUCACAGGCAGAUCACAGGCAGAUCACUGGCAGAUCACUGGCAGGGUCACAGGCAAGGUCACAGGCAAGGUCACAGGCAGAUCACAGACAGAUCACAACCAGAUCACAGGCAAGGUCACAGGCAGAUCACAGGCAGGGUCACAGGCAAGGUCACAGGCAAGGUCACAGGCAGAUCACAGACAAGGUCACAGGCAGAUGACAGGCAGAUGACAGGCAGAUCACAGGCAAGGUCACAGGCAGAUCACAGGCAGGGUCACAGGCAAGGUCACAGGCAGAUCACAGGCAGGGUCACAGACAAGGUCACAGGCAGAUCACAGGCAGAUCACAGACAAGGUCACAGGCAGAUCACAGGCAGGGUCACAGGCAAGGUCACAGGCAAGGUCACAGGCAGAUCACAGGCAAGGUCACAGGCAGAUCACAGGCAAGGUCACAGGCAGAUCACAGGCAGGGUCACAGGCAAGGUCACAGGCAAGGUCACAGGCAGAUCACAGGCAGGGUCACAGGCAAGGUCACAGGCAAAGUCACAGGCAGAUCACAGGCAAGGUCACAGGCAGAUCACAGGCAGGGUCACAGGCAAGGUCACAGGCAAAGUCACAGGCAGAUCACAGGCAGAUCACAACCAGAUCACAGGCAAGGUCACAGGCAGAUCACAGGCAGAUCACAACCAGAUCACAGGCAAGGUCACAGGCAGAUCACAGACAAGGUCACAGGCAAGGUCACAGGCAAAGUCACAGGCAGAUCACAGACAAAGUCACAGGCAGAUCACAGGCAAGGUCACAGGCAAGGUCACAGGCAAAGUCACAGGCAAAGUCACAGGCAAAGUCACAGGCAAGGUCACAGCAAAGUCACAGGCAGAUCACAGACAAAGUCACAGGCAGAUCACAGACAAGGUCACAGGCAGAUCAUAG
ensembl:lncRNA